UUAUUACUGCACAUGGUGGAUGCCUUGGCAGGAAGAGGCGAUGAAGGACGUAGCAGCCUGCGAUAAGCCUCGGGGAGGUGGCAAGCAACCUUUGAUCCGGGGAUUUCCGAAUGGGGAAACCUAAUCCGAGUAAUGUCGGAUUAUUCCGAUGUUUUGUCGGAAGGCGAACCUGGCGAAGUGAAACAUCUCAGUAGCCAGAGGAAAAGAAAUCAACAGAGAUUCCCUGAGUAGUGGCGAGCGAAAGGGGAAAAGCCUAAACCUACCUUGUGCUUCGCACAAGGACAGGGGUUGUGGAAAUUGUCAUGCUCUGAUUUUAAUCAGAGCGAAGAAAACAAAAUUCCUAGUAGAAUGGCGUGGAAUAGCCAGCCAAAGAAAGUGAAAGCCUUGUAUACAAAAGGAAUUUUGUUUCUUGACGGUUUUCCAAAGUAUGUCGAUGAAAAGGUAACGUCGGCAGAAUCAAGGAGAACUAUCUCCUAAGGCUAAAUACUCCUUCCUGACCGAUAGUGAACAAGUACCGUGAGGGAAAGGUGAAAAGUAGGGCGGUGAGCCCGUUGAAAAGUACCUGAAACCAUGUGCUAACAAAGACUCGGAGUCCCGAUUUAAAUCGGGAUGACGAGGUUCCUAUUGAAGAAUGAGCCAGCGAGUUUACUUGUGCAGCAAGGUUAACCCGUUGAUUUAGCGGGGGAACCGUAGCGAAAGCGAGUCUGAAUAGGGCGUUGAGUUGCACAAGUAAGACCCGAAGCCGGGUGAGCUACCCAUGGCCAGGGUGAACUCCGAUGAAAAUCGGAGGGAGGCCCGAACCGGUUGGCUGUGCAAAACCAUCGGAUGAGCUGUGGGUAGGGGUGAAAUGCCAAUCGAACUCGGGAAUAGCUGGUACUCCCCGAAAUAGCUGAUGGGCUAGCCUCAGUGUGGGACUCGGGGGUAGAGCGACUGGAUGGACGUGGGAGGAUUUUUCCUUACCAUAUCCAACCAAACUCCGAAUACCGAGUAUCUUAUACACUGGGAGUCAGUCCGUGGGGGCUAAGCUCCAUGUGACAAAAGGGGAACAGCCCAGAUUCUCAUCUAAGGUCCCUAAGUCUAGACUAAGUGUGAAAGGCAGUGAUAAAACUCAGACAACCAGGAGGUGGGCUUAGAAGCAGCCAUCCUUUAAAGAAAGCGUAACAGCUCACUGGUCAAGUUUUAUCGCACUAAAAAUUUACCGGGGCUUAAGUCUAGCACCGAAGAUAGAAACCUCGACAUAUUGUUGGGGUGGUAGGGGAGCAUCCCGAUUUCAGUGAAGUUAAUUCGUAAGAAUUAGUGGAGAAAUCGGGAGAGAGAAUGCUGGCAUAAGUAGCAAGACGGCCGAUGAAAAAUCGGCCCGCCGAAAGUCCAAGGUUUCUUCCGCAACGAUAAUCGUCGGGAGGUUAGGCGGUCCUAAGGUGAAUCCGAAAGGAGUAACUGAUGGAUAGCCGGUUAAUAUUCCGGCCCCCGAUCACUUUCCGAGGGGGUGACGCUUCUUCUUACUCGGAGCGCAAUUUGGCUAUUUGCGUUUAAGUAGAAAAUGGGUUCUUGAGGCAAAUCCCAGGAACAAAAGUUUUCUACGAAUAAAAUUCCCGAAAGGGAAAAUUCUGGGGUCGAAGGAGCCAAGAAAAACCUCUAGGUUCGCUAUUUUGGCGAAAAGAAGUGAUCGGACCGUACCGCAAACCGACACAGGUGGACGGGCAGAAUAUGCUCAGGCGAACGAGAGAACCCUCGUUUAGGAACUCGGCAAAAAAGUGGCCGUAACUUCGGGAUAAGGCCUUCCCCCACCACUUUGUAUUUGAUUCAAAAUCAAAAACCAAAUUAUUUUGGUUUAAUUACAAGAAUUGAGUCCAAAGUGGUGGGGGACGCAGCGAAAGUGUCUCACGCGACUGUUUACCAAAAACACAGGUCUCUGCUUAACUCGUAAGAGGAAGUAUAGGGGCUGAUGCCUGGCCAGUGUCAGAAGGUUAAGGGGAUGGCUGAUCCCCGAGUUUUCUCGGGGUGAGGUCUGAACCUAAGCCCUGAUGAACGCCGGCGGUAACUAUAACCGUCCUAUGGUAGCGUAAUCCCUUGCCGGGUGAGUUCCGGCCUGCACGAAUGGCAUAACGACGUGAGAACUGUCUCAACGAGGGACUCGGCGAAAUUGCGAGACCCGUGAAGACGCGGGUUACCCACAGUUAGACGAAAAGACCCCGUGAAGCUUUACUACAACUUGACAUUGGUAUAUGGCUAAACAUGUUGAGCGUAGGUGGGAGCUCCGAUAGCGUAAGCUUGUCGGAGCAACAAUGAGACACCACCCUUGUUUAGUGAUAUCCCUAACCCUGCCUUUAGUGGGGGACAGUGUCUGGUGGGUAGUUUAUCUGGGGCGGAUGCCUCCCAAAAGGUAACGGAGGCGCUUACUAAGGUCGGCUUAAUCCGGAUGGAAACCGGAUUGGACGUGCAAAGGCAUAAGCCGGCUUGACUGCAAGGCGUACGUGCCGCGCAGAGAGGAAACUCGAACUUAGUGAACCGAUGCGUCCAUGUAGGCGGCGCAAAGAUCAGCGGACAAAAGCUACUCCGGGGAUAACAGGCUUGUCGGGCCCGAGAGUCCCUAUCGACGGCCCGGUUCGGCACCUCGAUGUCGGCUCCUCGCAUCCUGGGGGUGGAGAAGCUCCCAAGGGUUUGGCUGUUCGCCAAUUAAAGCGGGACGUGAGCUGGGUUCAGAACGUCGUAAGACAGUUCGGUCUCCUAUCUACUGUGGGCGUUUAAAGGCUGAAGGGGCCCUUUCAUAGUACGAGAGGACCUGAAAGGACGGACCACUGGUGUACCAGUUGUCGUGCCAACGGCAUAGCUGGGUAGCCAUGUCCGGUUAGGAUAAGCGCUGAAAGCAUCUAAGCGCGAAGCCGUCCCUAAGAUUAGCCUUGAAGACCCCUUGAAGACUACAAGGUUGAUAGGCGGCAGGUGUAAGUCCGGCAACGGAUUGAGCCGAGCCGUACUAAUCGGUCUGAUU
rnacentral:rRNA from 1 species